rnacentral:rRNA from 1 species
UACGAAGGGGGCUAGCGUUGCUCGGAAUCACUGGGCGUAAAGGGUGCGUAGGCGGGUUUUUAAGUCAGGGGUGAAAUCCUGGAGCUCAACUCCAGAACUGCCUUUGAUACUGAAAAUCUUGAGUCCGGGAGAGGUGAGUGGAACUGCGAGUGUAGAGGUGAAAUUCGUAGAUAUUCGCAAGAACACCAGUGGCGAAGGCGGCUCACUGGCCCGGUACUGACGCUGAGGCACGAAAGCGUGGGGAGCAAACGGG